CGACAAACAGGAUAUUCAUCUACGCAGUAAUGGACAUUCUCACCUUCAUACACUAUCGCCUUACCCGCCCACUGUCAGGUGGGGAAGUGUUCAUUUCACAUACCCUGGCUGUGUACCCUGGACGCAGAUAAGAUGAAGGUUGUGUGUCUACUUCUCGUUGUCGGUCUUGUAUUGGGUCUAACAGACCGCUCAAGUUCUUUCCUUUGGCGAAAACGUAGGGGGUUCAACCCCUGUCGUGUCAUUGCCUGUGACUAUCACAAGACAAGGGAGAUAACUCGUGACGACAAUGCAGUCAUCGACGUGAACAACGUUAAAGAUGGUGUUUCCCGAGACGUACAGGAAUUGCCUGAAGCAGAUCAGUCUGUAUAGUCGAUGGAAUCUCAGGAUGACAUUAAGGCUGAAUCUAAAGGAUGAUUUUAAGGCCAUAUGCGUAAUGACAAUUGUUCAAAAUCUUUAUCAUAAUAUAUCGCAUCUCCUGAUCAUAAA